rnacentral:rRNA from 1 species
UACGGAGGGGGCUAGCGUUGUUCGGAAUUACUGGGCGUAAAGCGCACGUAGGCGGCUUUGUAAGUUAGAGGUGAAAGCCCGGGGCUCAACUCCGGAAUUGCCUUUAAGACUGCAUCGCUUGAACACGGGAGAGGUGAGUGGAAUUCCGAGUGUAGAGGUGAAAUUCGUAGAUAUUCGGAAGAACACCAGUGGCGAAGGCGACUCGCUGGACAAGUAUUGACGCUGAGGUGCGAAAGCGUGGGGAGCAAACAGG